GACGAACGCUGGCGGCGUGCCUAAUACAUGCAAGUCGAACGGUCUUUCUAUGGAAGCUUGCUUCCGCUGAGAAGAUAGUGGCGAACGGGUGAGUAACACGUGGGUAACCUGCCCAUAAGAGGGGAUAACAUCCGGAAACGGGUGCUAAUACCGCAUAGUUUUCUUGAUCGCAUGAUCGGGAAAGGAAAGACGGCCUUUGUGCUGUCGCUUAUGGAUGGACCCGCGGCGUAUUAGUUAGUUGGUGAGGUAACGGCUCACCAAGACGAUGAUACGUAGCCGACCUGAGAGGGUGAUCGGCCACAUUGGGACUGAGACACGGCCCAAACUCCUACGGGAGGCAGCAGUAGGGAAUCUUCCGCAAUGGACGAAAGUCUGACGGAGCAACGCCGCGUGAGUGAAGAAGGUUUUCGGAUCGUAAAACUACUGUUGUCAGAGAAGAACAAGUCGGAGAGUAACUGCUCCGGCCUUGACGGUAUCUGACCAGAAAGCCACGGCUAACUACGUGCCAGCAGCCGCGG
rnacentral:rRNA from 1 species